rnacentral:rRNA from 1 species
GGUUAAGUGACUAAGCGUACAUGGUGGAUGCCUUGGCAGUCAGAGGCGAUGAAGGACGUACUAACCUGCGAUAAGCCGUGAGCAGUCGGUAAGAGACAUUACGACUCACGGAUUUCCGAAUGGGGAAACCCACUUAGCAUAAGCUAGGUAUCGCUACGUGAAUACAUAGCGUAGCGAGGCGAACCGGGAGAACUGAAACAUCUAAGUACCCCGAGGAAAAGAAAUCAACCGAGAUUCCCUCAGUAGCGGCGAGCGAACGGGGAUUAGCCCUUAAGCAUCUUGGAAGUUAGUGGAACGGUCCUGGAAAGGCCGGCGAUACAGGGUGAUAGCCCCGUACACGAAAACAACCUUGAUGUGAAAUCGAGUAGGGCGGGACACGUGACAUCCUGUCUGAAUAUGGGGGGACCAUCCUCCAAGGCUAAAUACUCCUGACUGACCGAUAGUGAACCAGUACCGUGAGGGAAAGGCGAAAAGAACCCCUGUGAGGGGAGUGAAAUAGAACCUGAAACCGUGUACGUACAAGCAGUGGGAGCCCUUCGGGGUGACUGCGUACCUUUUGUAUAAUGGGUCAGCGACUUACAUUUUGUAGCGAGGUUAACCGUAUAGGGGAGCCGUAGGGAAACCGAGUCUUAACUGGGCGUCUAGUUGCAAGGUGUAGACCCGAAACCGGGUGAUCUAGCCAUGGGCAGGUUGAAGGUUGAGUAACAUCAACUGGAGGACCGAACCCACUAACGUUGCAAAGUUAGGGGAUGACCUGUGGCUGGGGGUGAAAGGCCAAUCAAACUCGGAGAUAGCUGGUUCUCCCCGAAAGCUAUUUAGGUAGCGCCUCGGACGAAUACUACUGGGGGUAGAGCACUGUUUGGGCUAGGGGGUCAUCCCGACUUACCAACCCCAUGCAAACUCCGAAUACCAGUAAGUAAUAUCCGGGAGACACACGGCGGGUGCUAACGUCCGUCGUGAAGAGGGAAACAACCCAGACCGCCGGCUAAGGUCCCAAAGUUCUGGUUAAGUGGGAAACGAUGUGGGAAGGCUCAGACAGCUAGGAUGUUGGCUUAGAAGCAGCCAUCAUUUAAAGAAAGCGUAAUAGCUCACUAGUCGAGUCGGCCUGCGCGGAAGAUGUAACGGGGCUCAAACCAGGCACCGAAGCCGCGGAUUCACACUAAGUGUGAGUGGUAGGGGAGCGUUCUGUAAGUCUGCGAAGGUGUGUCGAGAGGCAUGCUGGAGAUAUCAGAAGUGCGAAUGCUGACGUAAGUAACGAUAAAGGGGGUGAAAAGCCUCCUCGCCGGAAGACCAAGGGUUCCUGUCCAACGUUAAUCGGGGCAGGGUGAGUCGACCCCUAAGGCGAGGCCGAAAGGCGUAGUCGAUGGGAAGCAGGUUAAUAUUCCUGCACGACUUGUAAUUGCGAUGGGGGGACGGAGAAGGCUAGGUGGGCCAGGCGACGGUUGUCCUGGUGAAAGUGCGUAGGUGGUGUUUCUAGGCAAAUCCGGAGACACAACACUGAGACACGAGACGAACACACUACGGUGUGGAAGCCAUUGAUGCCCUGCUUCCAGGAAAAGCCUCUAAGCUUCAGAUUACAAGUCAUCGUACCCCAAACCGACACAGGUGGUCGGGUAGAGAAUACCAAGGCGCUUGAGAGAACUCGGGUGAAGGAACUAGGCAAAAUAGAACCGUAACUUCGGGAGAAGGUUCGCUCUUGACAGUGAAGUCCCUUGCGGAUGGAGCAGUUGGGAGUCGCAGUGACCAGAUGGCUGGGACUGUUUAUCAAAAACACAGCACUCUGCAAACACGAAAGUGGACGUAUAGGGUGUGACACCUGCCCGGUGCCGGAAGGUUAAUUGAUGGGGUUAGCGCAAGCGAAGCUCUUGAUCGAAGCCCCGGUAAACGGCGGCCGUAACUAUAACGGUCCUAAGGUAGCGAAAUUCCUUGUCGGGUAAGUUCCGACCUGCACGAAUGGUGUAACCAUGGCCAUGCUGUCUCCACCCGAGACUCAGUGAAAUCGAAUUCGCCGUGAAGAUGCGGUGUACCCGCGGCUAGACGGAAAGACCCCGUGAACCUUUACUACAGCUUGGCACUGAACAUUGAACCUACAUGUGUAGGAUAGGUGGGAGGCUUUGAAGGCGUGACGCCAGUUGCGCUGGAGCCGUCCUUGAAAUACCACCCUUGUAUGUUUGAUGUUCUAACGCAGGCCCGUGAAUCCGGGUCGCGGACAGUGCCUGGUGGGUAGUUUGACUGGGGCGGUCUCCUCCCAAAGAGUAACGGAGGAGCACGAAGGUUGGCUAAUCCUGGUCGGACAUCAGGAGGUUAGUGCAAUGGCAUAAGCCAGCUUAACUGCGAGACGGACAGGUCGAGCAGGUACGAAAGUAGGUCAUAGUGAUCCGGUGGUUCUGAAUGGAAGGGCCAUCGCUCAACGGAUAAAAGGUACUCCGGGGAUAACAGGCUGAUACCGCCCAAGAGUUCAUAUCGACGGCGGUGUUUGGCACCUCGAUGUCGGCUCAUCACAUCCUGGGGCUGAAGUCGGUCCCAAGGGUAUGGCUGUUCGCCAUUUAAAGUGGUACGCGAGCUGGGUUCAGAACGUCGUGAGACAGUUCGGUCCCUAUCUGCCGUGGGCGUUGGAUGAUUGAAGGGAGUUGCUCCUAGUACGAGAGGACCGGAGUGAACGAACCUCUGGUGUUCGGGUUGUCACGCCAGUGGCACUGCCCGGUAGCUAAGUUCGGAAUCGAUAACCGCUGAAAGCAUCUAAGCGGGAAGCGAGCCCUGAGAUGAGUCAUCCCUGACCCCUUGAGGGUCCUAAAGGGCCGUUGGAGACCACAACGUUGAUAGGUGGGGUGUGUAAGCGCGGCGACGUGUUGAGCUAACCCAUACUAAUUACCCGUGAGGCUUAACCAU